rnacentral:misc_RNA from 1 species
AAGCACAUCAUCAUAAGGAUCAGGCAUUGGUCCAUCAAGUUGUGGAAUCUUCAAUAAUGAUCUUCCAAUAUGUGAUGAUGUUGCACUCUUUGGAGAAGUGAUAACGCCAGGCCUCCCAUCAAAAGCAUUGCAUCCACUUAUCUCAAUCUCAAACACACUAUGGGCAGCAUCUCCAGCUCCAUCUUGCUGUGGUAUAAACCCAUUGGUCUGGUACUGGGAAGCAAAAUCAUCACGCUUACGCUUCCCAGAGUUCAUCAUGAAAAAGUCUUGUGUAAGAGAUGGGUGAGCACCAGCGGCUCCCCUGUCUGGUUCAUCACGCCCCUCCACGUAGGCAAUAUUAACGUCAACAGGAGUUCUUUGACCCAUCCAAGAAGGUGGUUGCAUAUAUGGGGUUGGCCUUCCAGAUCUGACCUCAACAUUGUUAGUAGCGCUACCUCCAGGAGUGGUAGCAGCUGGAGAAGCAUCAGUUCCAGAAGCAGAGUGGUCGCUGGGUCCAGUAGGAAUAUUAUACAUCGCGUUGUCAGCAGUUCCUGGUAAAGGGGUUUGAAUUGGAGUCUGCAGUGGCGUCGGCGGAAAAAGUAAAUCAGCUGUGGGAGUUUCGUACUCUUCAGUACCCUCAUACGGAACAUUGAGAUCGUGAACCGGAGUUAUAGGACCUCCGGGUGUGGGCUUAGAUGGUGCAGACCUCUCUAUGGGACCAGUCACGGCACGCGCUUGCAUCAUUUUCGCCUCCCACAUUCCUUGAAGCUCCUUGAGAACGUCCUCCCCGGGACCAUUAUCAACGAACUCAUCGCGAAGCUUGUUGAUAACAUCCUCGAUGACAUUGAUGUAGAUAGAGCUCGUGGAAGUCGCCAUAUCGGAUCCGCCUCAGCUCUGUCUACCUCCGAUUCCCUCCAAAAGCGAAACCCAGAAAGAAUCGAGUGUUUGGAGAAAAUUGGAGAGAAAACUCAAGGAAGAAGAUCCAUACAAUCCGCAGAAGCUUAUUGGAUUUCGUAGAGUUGUGUGAAGUAAAAGGGCAGAGGAGGCGAGGGAGAAGGGAGAAGGGA